rnacentral:rRNA from 1 species
ACUCCUACGGGAGGCAGCAGUGGGGAAUUUUGGACAAUGGGCGAAAGCCUGAUCCAGCCAUGCCGCGUGCAGGAUGAAGGCCUUCGGGUUGUAAACUGCUUUUGUACGGAACGAAACGGCCUUUUCUAAUAAAGAGGGCUAAUGACGGUACCGUAAGAAUAAGCACCGGCUAACUACGUGCCAGCAGCCGCGGUAAUACGUAGGGUGCAAGCGUUAAUCGGAAUUACUGGGCGUAAAGCGUGCGCAGGCGGUUAUGUAAGACAGUUGUGAAAUCCCCGGGCUCAACCUGGGAACUGCAUCUGUGACUGCAUAGCUAGAGUACGGUAGAGGGGGAUGGAAUUACGCGUGUAGCAGUGAAAUGCGUAGAUAUGCGUAGGAACACCGAUGGCGAAGGCAAUCCCCUGGACCUGUACUGACGCUCAUGCACGAAAGCGUGGGGAGCAAACAGGAUUAGAUACCCGAGUAGUCCCAUGA